rnacentral:rRNA from 1 species
UACAGAGGUCUCAAGCGUUGUUCGGAUUCAUUGGGCGUAAAGGGUGCGUAGGCGGCGCGGUAAGUCGGGUGUGAAAUCUCGGAGCUUAACUCCGAAACUGCAUUCGAUACUGCCGUGCUUGAGGACUGGAGAGGAGACUGGAAUUUACGGUGUAGCGGUGAAAUGCGUAGAUAUCUGGAGGAACACCGGUGGCGAAGGCGGCAUCCUGGACCAACACUGACACUGAGGAGCGAAAGCCAGGGGAGCAAACAGG